UAUAAGGGAUUUUGAGUUUUUGCUUGCAACGUUUGACCACUCGUUUUAUUCAAAAUUUUUUGAAAUUAUUAAUUAUUUUAUUUGUGACUUACUUUAUUAUCUAUAGUACUUUAAGCACAACUUUUUGUUUUUUAUAUUUGCAAAAAAAAUUUGAAUAAGACGAGUGGUCAAACGUUUCAAGCAAAAACUGAAAAUCCCUUAUA
rnacentral:pre_miRNA from 1 species